rnacentral:tRNA from 1 species
GCCUGGCUGGCUCAGUCAGUAGAGCAUGUGACUCUUGAUCUCAGGUUUGUGAGUUCGAGCCCCAUGUUGGGUG